rnacentral:rRNA from 1 species
UUGGGCACUCUAAUGAGACUGCCGGUGACAAGCCGGAGGAAGGUGGGGAUGACGUCAAGUCCUCAUGGCCCUUAUAGGUGGGCUACACACGUCAUACAAUGGCUGGUACAAAGGGUUGCCAACCCGCGAGGGGGAGCCAAUCCCAUAAAGCCAGUCGUAGUCCGGAUCGUAGUCUGCAACUCGACUACGUGAAGUCGGAAUCGCUAGUAAUCGUGGAUCAGAAUGUCACGGUGAAUACGUUCCCGGGUCUU